CCAGCAGCCGCGGUAAUUCCAGCUCCAAUAGCGUAUAUUAAAGUUGUUGCAGUUAAAAAGCUCGUAGUUGAAUUUCGGGGUCAGUAGUUUGGUCGUGCCAAUGGUAUGUACUGGGCUCACUGAUUCCUCCUUCCUGAUGAACUGUAAUGCCAUUAAUUUGGUGUUGCAGGGAAACUGGACUGUUACUUUGAAAAAAUUAGAGUGUUUAAAGCAAGCUCGCGCUUGAAUACAUUAGCAUGGAAUAAUGAAAUAGGACGUUUGAUUCUAUUUUAGUUGGUUUCUAGGGAUCGACGUAAUGAUUAAUAGGGAUAGUUGGGGGCAUUAGUAUUCAAUUGUCAGAGGUGAAAUUCUUGGAUUUAUUGAAGACUAACUACUGCGAAAGCAUUUGCCAAGGAUGUUUUCAUUAAUCAAGAACGAAAGUUAGGGGGAUCGAAGACGAUCAGAUACCGUCGUAGUCUUAACCAUAAACUAUGCCGACUAGGGAUCGGAUGAUGUUAAUUUUUUAAUGACUCAUUCGGCGCCUUACG
rnacentral:rRNA from 1 species